CCGAACCGUCGACACGAGUUGUUGCUGGUCCUCAAAUGGGGGCAUGUGCACGCUCUGUUUACACAUCCACUCACACCUGUGCACCCACUGUAGUUCUAUGGCCUGGGGGCUCCGCCCUCUUGCCGUGGUUCUAUGUCUUUACACACACACUGUAACAAAGUUUCGUGGAAUGCAUGAUGCGUUUAACGCAAUACAAUA
rnacentral:misc_RNA from 1 species